ACAGCAGCAGACGGCUGUAGAGUUUAGUAGUUCGUGUCAUGCGUUCGUACGGUAUUGUGUUGCGUUUUCUGUGUAAUGUGUAAGUGAUUUGAUGGUGGAGACAGGAAAUCACGGAAAGACAGAUAUUGAGUGUGUGGCUUAGGAGGGCAAUCAUGGACUGCAAGGGGACUAGUUGGGUGAAAAAAGAGAAGAAUGAAAUAUAUGCUGAACCAGAAUCCUUGUUUCUUGAAGAUCCGCUAAAGAUUGUAACACCUAGUCUUCAUAUAAAGCAAGACCUAGAACUGAAACAGGAGGAUGGCAUUGAACAUGAUGUAAGUUUUCACAUCAGUGAUGUAUUGUGCAUGAAGUACUGUAUGAAUAUCAUGAGAUGCAUUGGGUACAGUAUAUUUUAGUGAUCAUAAAUGAUGAAACAUUAAAACCUAGGAUAUUAGCACUCCCCCAGAAUGUUUAGAGAAUUUCAAUUGACUGUAGGUAUAUUGUUCUGUUGUGUAAUGGUAUUUGAAUGAAACUUGCAGGAAACAUAUGUUUAUUAACUGUAACCCAUGGUAAUUUUGUUGUACAUGUAAAUAAUGAAUGCCUCAAGUUCAUUCUUGGAACAAAUGUACCAAAGAUGACUUCCUUGCAGCAGCUGUCAAUUUAUUUGUGUCUGACAGAGUUCUAUAAUAGAAAAGAUGUAAGAGGUAAAGCAAUCAACUGUAAGCGGUAUGUUAUCAGAUAAGUAUUGUAUUUGUCAUACUAUUUCUUUUCGCUGAAGUAUUUAAUGAAAAACAAACUGCAUUACUGGAAUUGUUUGCUCUGUGUAAAGACAAUGGGUUUAUCCAGUAUGCAUGGCAUAAAUUUACAGUGUAUUGGAACAUUGCGUAUCCCAAACUACUUGCAAAGAGAAAACAUUGU